CAGUGGAGAAUCGUUAGAAUGAUCAUCGCUGCNUCAAAGUAAAGGCGUUUCUCGUGAAUAAAAUGUGCAGUUCCAGGAAACAGAUUAGAGAUCAUUUUCCAUCGAACUCUUUAUUUGCUCUGAUGUAUUAGGUUAUGCGGAAGGUGUCUUUCUCUCGCAAACAGCAGUGUACCUUCGUACAAACGUGAAACCAAGUCUGUGAAAUAUCGCGCUGUUUUAUCUCAACAAAACAAAAUUGAUCGUACGUAAUUCGAUAAAAUAAUAUGAAACAAAAAUCCUUGUGCGUCUAUUAUUUCUCAUAAAACGAAAGAAACUUUCCGGACAACCUAAUGGAAAUCAACUUUUCUAUAAAAAGAUGAAAAAUAAUGUUACCAAAGCGCUACCUGAAAAAUGGAAAGACUGCAGAAUGCUUGCUGUUCUACAAUAUAAUACGAUUAUUUAGAAAUCACAGUGUAUAUUGAACGGAGAUUGAAAUAUAGUCAGAAUCGUUUUUUGAAGAUCCUUAAACACGGUUCAAAGCAGAAUUGCCGAGGCAGAAGAAUCAACGGGAGGAAGUUUUCAUCGACGAAGGGAAACGGAAGGAAAUGUGGCUGUUAGUUGUUCCGGCCGAAGCGGGAUGCAUCGAAGAGUGGCCGCGGCAACGGUGCGAGAAUUGGGGAAGAACGAGAAGUAAGAAGAAGAGGCAACCCAAAGGGAAAAGGACGAAAAAACAGAGAGAAAGAGGGAGAGAGAGAUGGCAUAGAGAAGCCAGCGGAAGGCGGAAAACAAGGGAAAAUAAAGCAGCGGAAGAAUCGCGUCGCAGGAAAAAGAAUGAGGGCGCUGUCAGCUGGUGGAAAUUAUUCUGAUUAUGCUAAUUCCGGUUCUGUUCCACUCCUUUACCCAGCCGUCCCCCAGACCCAUUGCCUCCCUGCUGCUGUCUGCGCCAUCUUUCAUGGCUGAUAUUUAUAAUAUAGGGGUGCUCGAGCAGUUUCAAACUCUUUUUGGCCCCGGAGCUCGCAACCCCCCUCCCCACCCUCGACCAUCAUUUGGCCCUCCAUCGAGAACCACCCCACGGCACGCUCCACUGUCUUCGGGCUUUUCGAUAAAUUUAUUCAUAUUCCAAGGAAAAUUUCGUCGCUAGUCUCGAGAGAACUCGGUCAACUAGAGCCUCUGGUCCCGCGGCACUCGAGCUUAGCCGCGAUUUACCUUUGAAAAUCUAACCGCGACGACUUUGUUAGCCCAGCAUCGUGAAAACAGAGCCAUUAUCUAUGAAAGAGGAGAUUUUUGCUUAGUUCGUAAUAGCUGGUGUAUUUUCUUUUUCUUUCUAAGUUUUCUAGGUUAUCUCGUUCCUCGCAAUUGAGAAGAGUGGGGAUGGAUUUGGAAAUGAAAGAGCGAGAUACAUAGCCGCAGCGCUUAGCGUGCACGUUCGUAAUCUUCCUCUCAAGGUCGUAAGUUUUCCUUUUUAAUUAAAGGUGCUUUCUAUUCAUGUCCGGAGACUGGCACGCCCACGGUUAAAGUUACGCUACGUUAUUUUACGCUUCGUGGAAAAUCUUCCUUUCUUUUGAUAUUGUCGUCCGAUCGUGUUGUUUGCUUCGCUAUAAUUUAGAGUAUAAAAUUCAUAGAAGACAGAUUGAAAGAAUCUGACACCGAAUCGAUCGGGACAGCAAGGCAUUAUGGACAGUUUAAAGGGACAAUUGUCAAACACUCGUUGUCUAUCGUCUUUGCAAACAUGAAUAAAAUACACACGUACACCGAUGAUUAAAUAGCCUUGUGUUUGCUCGGGGAAUAAGCGGAUCUAUCUCACUUUACCCUCUGUUAACUCUUCCAUAAAAAGUGACACAGCCAUAUUUGAUUUCUGAUUACACCUCCCACAAGGCAGUCAAUACGGUUUCCAUAUAAAACCAAUAAGAAAGAUUUGCUUGCUGAAGAUGAGUAUUAUAUAAAAAUCAUAAGAUGUUAAUAUGAUCUUAAAAUAUUUUCUAUUUUUCCUGUCUUUUAUUUUAACUUAUAUACAGACUGCAAAUGUUUAAGCAAAUUCAUAUUUUUAUAAAAAGCUUUAUUUCAUACAUUAAAUACAUAAUGUUAUAACUACUAUGCAAUGAAUACUAUACUUUAUACGUUUUUCAGCAAUAUAUGUAGCGGCACAUGCGUCACAGGGCGUUUCAAUACGAAGAUGCCUGACAUAGUUGUUUUGCCACAGAGGAUUAACACCGUACGACGCACGUAAUGUAAUAAACAAACUCUGGACAAGGCAAUUUCGCUGCUACGUGCAACCUACAACCGACGACAAGUUCAAAUCUCCCGGUACCUCCCCUCCACUAGUAUAAAUAGACGACCGUAUUCUCCAGACAUAGUCAGUCCAGCGAAUAAAUAUAACGAAUCAGUGUAGCGAAUCAGCAUAACAAUUAGUAUCGGUACCGCAGUAUCGCGCAAUCUUAUAACAAAUAUCAUGAAGCGAGCAACGCUUGCGA